UACGUAGGGUGCGAGCGUUUGUCCGGAAUUACUGGGCGUAAAGAGCUCGUAGGUGGUUUGUCGCGUUGUUCGUGAAAACUCACAGCUUAACUGUGGGCGUGCGGGCGAUACGGGGCAGACUGGAGUACUGCAGGGGAGACUGGAAUUCCUGGUGUAGCGGUGGAAUGCGCAGAUAUCAGGAGGAACACCAAUGGCGAAGGCAGCACUCUGGGACGUGACUGGACGCUGAAGACGCGAAAGCGUGGGGAGCAAACAGG
rnacentral:rRNA from 1 species